rnacentral:piRNA from 1 species
UCCAAGAAGUGAAAGAAGGAAGGGAAGC